UCUGUAACAACAUGGCAGCUCCCAUGAGAACUGCAUGGCUGGAGUCAGAAGAGGAAGAAGCGGAACUGGGCAGAUGGUGUCUCGCUCUCCCUCCCGGACUGGACCGCAGUGCGAUCAUAGCUUAUUGCAGCCUUGAACUCCUGGGCUCAAGCGGCCCUCCAACCCCAGCCUCCAGAGUAGCUGGGACUAUAGGCGUGCACCACCACACCUAGCUAUAGUUUUCAAAAUUUAGAUAUAAUUCAUAUAUAAAUUACAUUUUAUAGUUA